rnacentral:rRNA from 1 species
UACUGAAACACUCGUAUAGUGAUAGAGUUACGACACCUGGCUUAUGUGCAGUCAACAUCGCCGUAAGUAUUGUGCGAACUUGGCCACACACACAUAUCUCCGUGGGACUUCCAGAUAAACAAAGGAUGCGGCCCCCCACAGGUGAGCAUGGUUAUUCGAGCACGGAAGACCUACCGCCUGACAUCCCACUGACGUGUCAGUAACGUGACAUCUCGACAGUGAGACAGUGUGCAUGUGUCGUCAGCUCGUGUCGUGAGAUGUGGGUAAGUCCCGCAACGAGCGCAACCCUUGUCCUUAGUAGCCAGCAGUAAGAUGGGAACUCUAAGGAGACUGCCAGGGAUAACCUGGAGGAAGGUGGGGAUGACGUCAAAUCAUCAUGCCCCUUUAUGGCCGGGGCUGCGACACGUGCUACAAUGGCGUAAACAGAAAGAAGCGACCCCCGACCUAAAGCGGGUCCCAAAAAUAACGUCCCAGUUCGGAUUGCAGUCUGCAACUCGACUGCAUGAAGCUGGAAUCGCUAGUAAUCGCAAAUCAGAAUGUUGCGGUGAAUACGUUCCCGGGUCUUGUACACACCGCCCGUCACACCAUGGGAGUCGGUAAUGCCCGAAGUCAGUGACCCAACCGCAAGGAGGGAGCUGCCGAAGGCAGGACUGAUAACUGGGGUG